rnacentral:rRNA from 1 species
GACGAACGCUGGCGGCGUGCUUAACACAUGCAAGUCGAACGGAAAGGCCCCUUUGGGGGUACUCGCGUGGCUAACGGGCGAGUAACACGUGAGUAACCUGCCCUUGACUUCCGGAUAACUUCCUGCAACUGGGGCUAAUACCUGAUAGGAAUCCUUGCUGCAUGGAUGGGGGUGGAAAGCUUCGGCGGUUUUGGAUGGACUCGCGGCUUAUCAGCUUGUUGGUGGGGGAGUGGGUUACCAAGGGUUUGACGGGUAGCCGGCCUGGGAGGGCGACCGGCCACAUUGGGACUGAGAUACGGCCCAGGAUCCUACGGGGGGCAGCAGUGGGGAAUAUUGCAAAAUGGGCGGAAGCCUGAUGCAGGAAAGCCGCGGGCGGGAUGACGGCCUUCGGGUUGUAAACCGCUUUCAGCAGGGGCGAAGCUUGUGGUGACGGUACCGGCAGAAGAAGCACCGGCUAACUACGUG